AUGACGGACGACCAACGCCGGGUUCCCCAGCCCUCGCCGGAGCCGGAGGACUACGUCGACUACGCAGCGGCGGUGCUCUGUGCCGCCGAAGGCUGCGACCACUGCGGCUGUGAGGGUGGGCCCUUUCUUGUGGCCUUCGUAUCCACCGACAAGGGGAAGGGGGUGACCUCCGCCCGCCUGUACUCCUCGGAGACCGGCGCGUGGAACGAGACCACCUCUCUUCAUCACCCCGAGGCCAAUGCCCACUUUGCGGCUAGCGUCCAUGUGGGAGACGCGCUCUACUUCCGCGGCAUCGGGAAUUACACCAUCGAGUACCAACUUACUACAGCCCGCUUGUCCGUGUUGGAGGCGCUGGCCAAGUGUAAUGGGAGGCUCGUGACAAUGGAGGACGGUGGCCUGGGAUUUGCCGCUGUGGAUAACACGAUCAUAACCCUGUGGGCAAGGGAGACUGGCCCUGAGGGCGCAGAGACAUGGACGCAACGCAGGGUAAUCGAUCUCAAGACGCUGCUUUCUGAAGAUGCCCUCUCACACUCAAUUAACGGAAUCAAAUACUAUAGUUGGAUUCCCGUUGUAUCUGUGGUCGGCUUUGCUGAGGGCACUGAUGCCAUUUUUGUUGGCACCAUUGCUUGCGUCUACAUGAUUGAACUCAAGUCAGGCCGAGUCACCAAGGUGCUCGAUGAAUUUGGGAGAGUCUGCCCCUACAUGGGCUUCUACAUUCCAGACAUGGAAGUAGCUUCUACAGCUGAGGGGCCAAAAGAGGGUGUUUUAAAUCUAUGA
rnacentral:rRNA from 1 species